rnacentral:rRNA from 1 species
GACGAACGCUGGCGGCGUGCUUAACACAUGCAAGUCGAACGGAAAGGCCCUGCUUUUGUGGGGUGCUCGAGUGGCGAACGGGUGAGUAACACGUGAGUAACCUGCCCUUGACUUUGGGAUAACUUCAGGAAACUGGGGCUCAUACCGGAUAGGAGCUCCUGAUGCAUGGUGGGGGUUGGAAAGUUUCGGCGGUUGGGGAUGGACUCGCGGCUUAUCAGCUUGUUGGUGGGGUAGUGGCUUACCAAGGCUUUGACGGGUAGCCGGCCUGAGAGGGUGACCGGCCACAUUGGGACUGAGAUACGGCCCAGACGCCUACGGGAGGCAGCAGUGGAGAAUAUUGCACAAUGGGCGGAAGCCUGAUGCAGCAACGCCGCGUGCGGGAUGACGGCCUUCGGGUUGUAAACCGCUUUCGCCUGUGACGAAGCGUGAGUGACGGUAAUGGGUAAAGAAGCACCGGCUAACUACGUG